AGCAGCAGCCGCGGGAAUACGGAGGAUCCAAGCGUUAUCCGGAAUCAUUGGGUUUAAAGGGUCCGUAGGCGGUCUUGUAAGUCAGUGGUGAAAGCCCAUCGCUCAACGGUGGAACGGCCAUUGAUACUGCAGGACUUGAAUUAUUGGGAAGUAACUAGAAUAUGUAGUGUAGCGGUGAAAUGCUUAGAGAUUACAUGGAAUACCAAUUGCGAAGGCAGGUUACUACCAAUUGAUUGACGCUGAUGGACGAAAGCGUGGGUAGCGAACAGGAUUAGAGACCCCUGUAGUCCCUGUCUCUUAUAC
rnacentral:rRNA from 1 species